ACAUACUUCUUUAUGUACCCAUAUGAACAUAUGAUAACUAUGGAAUGUAAAGAAGUAUGUAU
rnacentral:pre_miRNA from 1 species